AGAUUGAACGCUGGCGGCAUGCCUUACACAUGCAAGUCGAACGGCAGCACGGGAGCAAUCCUGGUGGCGAGUGGCGAACGGGUGAGUAAUAUAUCGGAACGUGCCCAGUAAUGGGGGAUAGCCCGGCGAAAGCCGGAUUAAUACCGCAUACGACCUACGGGUGAAAGCGGGGGAUCGCAAGACCUCGCGUUAUUGGAGCGGCCGAUAUCAGAUUAGCUUGUUGGUGGGUAAAAGCCUACCAAGGCGACGAUCUGUAGCUGGUCUGAGAGGACGACCAGCCACACUGGGACUGAGACACGGCCCAGACUCCUACGGGAGGCAGCAGUGGGGAAUUUGGACAAUGGGCAAAGCCUGAUCCAGCCAUGCGCGUGUGGGAAGAAGGCCUUCGGGUUGUAAACCUACUUUUGUCAAGGAAGAAACGGUCCUAACUAAGUACUAAGGACUAAGCGUACGUACCUGAAAGAAUAAAGCGACCGGACUAACUACGUCGCAGCACGCCGC
rnacentral:rRNA from 1 species